rnacentral:rRNA from 1 species
GACGAACGCUGGCGGCGUGCUUAACACAUGCAAGUCGAACGGAAAGGCCCUGCUUUUGUGGGGUUCUCGAGUGGCGAACGGGUGAGUAACACGUGAGUAACCUGCCCUUGACUUUGGGAUAACUUCAGGAAACUGGGGCUAAUACCGGAUAGGAGCUCCUGCUGCAUGGUGGGGUUUGGAAAGUUUCGGCGGUUGGGGAUGGACUCGCGGCUUAUCAGCUUGUUGGUGGGGUAGUGGCUUACCAAGGCUUUGACGGGUAGCCGGCCUGAGAGGGUGACCGGCCACAUUGGGACUGAGAUACGGCCCAGACUCCUACGGGAGGCAGCAGUGGGGAAUAUUGCACAAUGGGCGGAAGCCUGAUGCAGCAACGCCGCGUGCGGGAUGACGGCCUUCGGGUUGUAAACCGCUUUCGCCUGUGACGAAGCGUGAGUGACGGUAAUGGGUAAAGAAGCACCGGCUAACUACGUG